rnacentral:tRNA from 1 species
GCGCUGAUAGCUCAAUUGGAUAGAGCAUCUGACUACGGAUCAGAAGGUUGGGGGUUCGAGUCCCUCUCGGCGCG